GGACUUUUAGCAAUAGGAUCAUAAUAAACCACCACACUCCGCAUCUGUCGUCCUUAACGGCUCCACUCUCGCUAGCGUUCACUUUAUUUGUGUACGUAGCUCUUUCCCAAGUAGCCCUUUUUGAGUGAGGUGCCAGGCGCCUUGACGGUUAUGCUCUUGACAUUGCUAGCUCUGGCGGAACAGUGCCAUACUAGUUUCACCAUCCAAGGAACGGUGUGCAUGGAGGGUGAUGG
rnacentral:lncRNA from 1 species